rnacentral:rRNA from 1 species
CCUACGGGUGGCAGCAGUGAGGAAUAUUGGUCAAUGGACGAGAGUCUGAACCAGCCAAGUAGCGUGAAGGAUGACUGCCCUAUGGGUUGUAAACUUCUUUUAUAUGGGAAUAAAAUGUUCCACGUGUGGGAUUUUGUAUGUACCAUAUGAAUAAGGAUCGGCUAACUCCGUGCCAGCAGCCGCGGUAAUACGGAGGAUCCGAGCGUUAUCCGGAUUUAUUGGGUUUAAAGGGAGCGUAGGUGGAUUGUUAAGUCAGUUGUGAAAGUUUGCGGCUCAACCGUAAAAUUACAGUUGAAACUGGCAGUCUUGAGUACAGUAGAGGUGGGCGGAAUUCGUGGUGUAGCGGUGAAAUGCUUAGAUAUCACGAAGAACUCCGAUUGCGAAGGCAGUUCACUGGACUGCAACUGACACUGAGGCUCGAAAGUGUGGGUAUCAAACAGGAUGAGAUACCCUAGUAGUC